GAACUUUAUGUAAGACCUGAUGACGUCCAUGUGAACAUCCGGCUAGUGGAGUUGUAUCGCUCAACUAAAAGAUUGAAGGAUGCUGUGGCCCACUGCCAUGAGGCAGAGAGGAACAUAGCUUUGCGUUCAAGUUUAGAGUGGAAUUCGUGUGUUGUACAGACCCUUAAGUUUUGAUAGUGCUCUUCAGUCUGCGAAAUCUUCUUUGGGUGGAAAUGAUGAACUGUCAGCUACUUUCUUAGAAAUGAAAGGACAUUUCUAUAUGUAUGCUGGUUCUCUGCUCUUGAAGAUGGGUCAGCAUGGUAAUAAUGUUCAAUGGCGAGCUCUUUCUGAGCUGGCUGCAUUGUGCUAUCUCAUAGCAUUUCAGGUAAGUCUUCCACUUGUAGGAGCAAUUGACAUUUCACGGAGUCUUGAUGUGUUUUAAAUGAAGGUGUGCUCUGGUAUGUAAUGACAAUAUGUGAACAAACCUGUGGAAUUAAA
rnacentral:lncRNA from 1 species